rnacentral:rRNA from 1 species
GAUGAACGCUAGCGAUAGGCUUAACACAUGCAAGUCGAGGGGCAGCAUGGUCUUAGCUUGCUAAGACUGAUGGCGACCGGCGCACGGGUGCGUAACGCGUAUGCAACUUGCCUCACAGAGGGGGAUAACCCGUCGAAAGACGGACUAAUACCGCGUACACUCCAUCUUGGGCAUCCAAGGUAGAGGAAAUGAAAUUCGCUGUGAGAUAGGCAUGCGUCCCAUUAGCUAGUUGGUGAGGUAACGGCUCACCAAGGCGACGAUGGGUAGGGGAACUGAGAGGUUGAACCCCCACACUGGUACUGAGACACGGACCAGACUACUACGGGAGGCAGCAGUGAGGAAUAUUGGUCAAUGGGCGAGAGCCUGAACCAGCCAAGUCGCGUGAAGGAUGACUGUCUUAUGGAUUGUAAACUUCUUUUAUACGGGAAUAACGAGAGUCACGCGUGACUCCCUGCAUGUACCGUAUGAAUAAGCAUCGGCUAACUCCGUG